rnacentral:rRNA from 1 species
UACGUAGGGGCAAGCGUUGUCCGGAAUUAUUGGGCGUAAAGAGCGUGUAGGCGGCCAGAUAAGUCCGCUGUGAAAUCUCGAGGCUCAACUUCGAGCUGUCGGUGGAAACUAUCUGGCUAGAGUCCGGAAGAGGAGAAUGGAAUUCCUGGUGUAGCGGUGAAAUGCGCAGAUAUCAGGAAGAACACCCGUGGCGAAGGCGGUUCUCUGGGACGGUACUGACGCUGGAGACGCGAAAGCGUGGGAGCAAACAGG